GAUGAACGCUAGCGGCAGGCCUAACACAUGCAAGUCGAGGGGCAGCACGGUGUAGCAAUACACUGGUGGCGACCGGCGCACGGGUGCGUAACGCGUAUGCAACCUACCCAUAACAGGGGGAUAACACUGAGAAAUUGGUACUAAUACCCCAUAACAUCAGGACCGGCAUCGGUUCUGGUUGAAAACUCCGGUGGUUAUGGAUGGGCAUGCGUUGUAUUAGCUGGUUGGUGAGGUAACGGCUCACCAAGGCAACGAUACAUAGGGGGACUGAGAGGUUAACCCCCCACAUUGGUACUGAGACACGGACCAAACUCCUACGGGAGGCAGCAGUGAGGAAUAUUGGUCAAUGGACGCAAGUCUGAACCAGCCAUGCCGCGUGCAGGAAGACGGCUCUAUGAGUUGUAAACUGCUUUUGUACGAGGGUAAACGCUCUUACGUGUAAGAGCCUGAAAGUAUCGUACGAAUAAGGAUCGGCUAACUCCGUG
rnacentral:rRNA from 2 species